rnacentral:rRNA from 1 species
CCUACGGGAGACAGCAGUGGGGAAUUUUGCGCAAUGCUCGCAAGACUGACGCAGCGACGCCGCGUGAAUGACGAAGGCCUUCGGGUCGUAAAGUUCUUUCGACAGGGAGGAAAAUGCCUAUAAGUAACUGUGUAUGUAUUGACGGUACCUGUAUAAGCAGCACCGGCUAACUCCUUGCCAGCAGCCGCGGUAAUACGGAGGGGGCGAGCGUUGUUCGGAGUGACUGGGCGUAAAGCGCACGUAGGCGGUGUUUUAAGUCAUCUGGCAAAGACUAGGGCUCAACUUGGGUACGGCUAGUGAAACUAUAAUACUAGAGUAUCAGAGAGGAUUGCAGAAUUCCUGGUGUAGCGGUGAAAUGCGUAGAGAUCAGGAGGAAUACCGGUAGCGAAGGCGGCAAUCUGGCUGGAAACUGACGCUGAGGUGCGAAAGCGUGGGGAGCAAGCAGGAUUAGAUACCCCUGUAGUC